rnacentral:rRNA from 1 species
UACGGGGGGGGCAAGCGUUGUUCGGAAUUACUGGGCGUAAAGGGCGCGUAGGCGGUUCGAUAAGUCAGCUGUGAAAACCAUGGGCUUAACUCAUGGCCUGCAGUUGAGACUGUCGGGCUGGAGUGUGGGAGAGGAGAGUGGAAUUCCUGGUGUAGCGGUGAAAUGCAUAGAUAUCAGGAGGAACACCGGUGGCGAAGGCGGCUCUCUGGGCCGGUACUGACGCUGAGGAGCGAAAGCAUGGGGAGCGAACAGG